UAGUUGCUUAAGGCUGAGGGCAUU
rnacentral:piRNA from 1 species